GUGUCAGCCGCCGCGGUAAUACGUAGGGUGCAAGCGUUAAUCGGAAUUACUGGGCGUAAAUCGUGCGCAGGCGGUUAUAUAAGACAGAUGUGAAAUCCCCGGGCUCAACCUGGGACCUGCAUUUGUGACUGUAUAGCUAGAGUACGGUAGAGGGGGAUGGAAUUCCGCGUGUAGCAGUGAAAUGCGUAGAUAUGCGGAGGAACACCGAUGGCGAAGGCAAUCCCCUGGACCUGUACUGACGCUCAUGCACGAAAGCGUGGGGAGCAAACAGGAUUAGAAACCCCAGUAGUCC
rnacentral:rRNA from 1 species